AUAUUGCACAAUGGGGGAAACCCUGAUGCAGCGACGCCGCGUGAGGGAAGAAGGUUUUCGGAUUGUAAACCUCUGUCCUUGGUGACGAUAAUGACGGUAGCCAAGGAGGAAGCCACGGCUAACUACGUGCCAGCAGCCGCGGUAAUACGUAGGUGGCAAGCGUUGUCCGGAAUUACUGGGUGUAAAGGGAGCGUAGGCGGGAAAUCAAGUUGAAUGUUAAAUCUAUGGGCUCAACCCAUAAGAGCGUUCAAAACUGUUUUUCUUGAGUGAAGUAGAGGCAAGCGGAAUUCCUAGUGUAGCGGUGAAAUGCGUAAAUAUUAGGAGGAACACCAGUGGCGAAGGCGGCUUGCUGGGCUUUAACUGACGCUGAGGCUCGAAAGUGUGGGUAUCAAACAG
rnacentral:rRNA from 1 species